UGAGAGAUUCAUCAGAGGAAGGUGAACCGGUUGAUUUGCACGAACUUAAGAGACUGAGGAGUGAAAAAGGAUCGAGAUCAUGGUUUGGGAUCGGGACCAAGACUGGUCGAGUCGAAGCAAGAUGAGGAGACGAGAUCAUAAAUAUUGGGUUUCGAGCGCGAUGGCUUUGGAUGCGCCCUACCUGUUGAAGCUCCUCCUAAGUUGAAGGGUCUUUCUUGGACAGAUUCUACAAAUCCAAUGCAGCCAUGGAUCCAUUAGAGAGUGCUGCAUUCCUUAAAAAAAAUAGGAAGAUGGAAGUAGCUCAUUCAGUAGCUGCUACUGCUGGUGAAACUGAGAUGUGUCUACAACUAUGAUAUUAACACCUGGACCUGUGAUUGAUUUUCUUCUGGCCAAUCAGAAUGCACGGGAACCUCGUAAUAUUGACUGGGCAAAGCUAAGAAAAUGCUAAAAAAUAUGACGGUUAAGACAAGGCCCAGCAACAUGGAAUUUAAGAUCAUAGGCUUGAGUGAAAAGGCUUGCAAUCAGCAAUUGUAAUGUCAAAAUCUAAGAAUGAAUUGGGUGCAUCUAAACUGGAGUAGAAAGUUCGGGUGGCCUCUAAUUGAUCACAUCUCUACUUUUGGUAUGGUCUGUUUGGCUCUUUAAAGACUGCUGUUUUUUCAUGUAUCUGAAGGCUACUUGAUGCUUUUGUGCUAGAAAUGCGUCGACGUGAAGAUGUGAAUAUUUGGGUAGACCUGCUUGAAUAGCUUCAGGUUUGAAGUAUUAUGGAAACUGGUUUAAGUUUUUCCUUCCCUUCUUUUCUUGAUAUUAAACAAUUAUCCCCGGCUGAGUGAACUGAUAUAUUGUGAUUGGUGGAACUCCUUUUUGAUUUGCAGUUAAUAUUUAUCUGUUUGUGAUUCUUCCAUUUGUUAUUUUGCGUAUAUGUUUUUGCUUAAAUGACGUAAUCAGUUUUUUGAUAAGUAUAGUUCUCAGGCUAUAUCUAUUCUGUGGGUUUGUCCUUGAGCUACCUGCAACAGUUAGUCGUGUGUAAAGAUAUUGCUCGGAAGCAACUCAUGGAGGAUGACUUCUGCAUGAACAGUCAGGAGAGUAAAUGAUGUCCUUUAACCUGCUUGCGGCCAUAUAUGAACAUAUGUCCAGUGAUGUCUCUUCUGAAAAAUGGUGGAGUUGGUCCGACUUCUAAGGGGAGCCUGAACCCCACCAUUACAGUCCAUCCUAGAAGCUUCAGAAUUGGGGUGGGGUAUUAAGAGAGGAGUUUAAUCCCCUACUUUGUUGAGAUGUCUGAAAGGGGACUCUCACUUUGCUGAUUUGAAAGUGGAAAAUUGCGAGCUUUCAUGUAAUGGAGUGAGUCAACUUGUAGGUGUUCUUUCAACUUUAAAGAGGCCACUAGAUUCUCUAUCUAUUGGAGAAAAUGGCCUUGGCAGCAAAGUUGGAGCACC